rnacentral:rRNA from 1 species
AUACCGGCGGCUCGAGUGGUGGCCACUAUUACUGGGCUUAAAGCGUCCGUAGCUGGAUUGUUAAGUCUCUUGGGAAAUCCACCGGCUCAACCGAUGGGCGUUCAGGAGAAACUGGCAAUCUAGGGACCGGGAGAGGUGAGAGGUACUCCAGGGGUAGGAGUGAAAUCCUGUAAUCCUUGGGGGACCACCUGUGGCGAAGGCGUCUCACUAGAACGGCUCCGACAGUGAGGGACGAAAGCUGGGGGAGCAAACCGGAUUAGAUACCCGGGUAGUCCCAGCUGUAAACGAUGCGCGGUAGGUGUAUCGGUGACCACGAGUCAUCGAGGUGCCGAAGGGAAACCGUGAAACGUGCCGCCUGGGAAGUACGGUCGCAAGGCUGAA